GACGAACGCUGGCGGCGUGCUUAACACAUGCAAGUCGUACGGAAAGGCCCUUUCGUGGGUACACGAGUGGCGAACGGGGGAGUAAGACGUGAGUAACCUGCCCACAACUAUGGGAUAACGCUAGGAAAGUGGAGCUAAUACUGGAUAUGUGCUACUGCUGCAUGGUGGGGGUUGGAUAGCUCCGGGGGUUGUGGGUGGGCUCGCGAGCUAUCAGCUUGUUGGUGCGGUAGUGGCCUACCAACGCGGCGGCGGGUGGCCGGCCUGAGAGGGUGACCUGCCACAUUGGGUCCGAGAUACGGCCCCGGCUCCGACGCGUGGGAGCUGUGCGGAAGAUUGCACGAUGGGCGCCAGGCUGGUGCAGAAACGCCGCGUGCGGGAUGACGGCCUUCGGGUUGUAAACCGCUUUCAGCAGGAACGAAGCAUUUUGUGACGGUACCUGCAGAAGAAGCACCGGCUAACUACGUG
rnacentral:rRNA from 1 species